GGUUUAGUGUUGUUGGCCCACUGGCACUCGCCGGUUGGUGCCGAUCUACGCUUACCAUCUUUCUAGAGAACAAGCAUGCCCUUCACUGGCGCGUACUUGCGAUCUAGAUCUUUUACUUUGAAAAAAUUAGAGUGUUUAAAGCAGGCAGUUUGCUAUGAAUACAUUAGCAUGGAAUAAUAAUUUAGGACUUCGUUGUCUUAUUUUGUUGGUUUCUAGGACCGAAGUA
rnacentral:rRNA from 1 species